GAUGAACGCUGGCGGCGUGCCUAAUACAUGCAAGUCGAGCGAACGGACGAGAAGCUUGCUUCUCUGAUGUUAGCGGCGGACGGGGGAGUAACACGUGGAUAACCUACCUAUAAGACUGGGAUAACUUCGGGAAACCGGAGCUAAUACCGGAUGAUAUUUUGAACCGCAUGGUUCAAAAGUGAAAGACGGUCUUGCUGUCACUUAUAGAUGGAUCCGCGCUGCAUUAGCUAGUUGGUAAGGUAACGGCUUACCAAGGCAACGAUGCAUAGCCGACCUGAGAGGGUGAUCGGCCACACUGGAACUGAGACACGGUCCAGACUCCUACGGGAGGCAGCAGUAGGGAAUCUUCCGCAAUGGGCGAAAGCCUGACGGAGCAACGCCGCGUGAGUGAUGAAGGUCUUCGGAUCGUAAAACUCUGUUAUUAGGGAAGAACAUAUGUGUAAGUAACUGUGCACAUCUUGACGGUACCUAAUCAGAGAGCCACGGCUAACUACGUG
rnacentral:rRNA from 1 species